CAUUUUUAUUGCUUCUUUUAUUUUUAUACGUUGGAUUUUAUUGUGUUCCGCGGAAUUCAAACUGUAACACGAUAAAAUGCAAUGUAAGAAAUAAAAGAAGCAAUAAAAAUG